rnacentral:tRNA from 1 species
GCAGUGGUGGUUCAGUGGUGGAAUUCUUGCCCUCCAUGUGAGAGACUGGGGUUUGAUUCCCGGCCAGUGCA